AAGGGAGCAUCCGUCGACAGUUGGAGAUGAAUACUGUCAUGGAGUUGCUCUCUUUA
rnacentral:pre_miRNA from 1 species